GACGAACGCUGGUGGCGUGCCUAAUACAUGCAAGUAGGACGAAGUUGCGAACGGGAGAGUAACGCGUAGGUCAUUACCUGUGAGAGGGGGAUAACUAUCGGAAACGAUAGCUAAUACCGCAUACUAGAAGAUGGAACUGCGUUGUAUUAGCUAGUAGGUGGGGUAAUGGCCUACCUAGGCAACGAUACAUAGCCGACCUGAGAGGGUGAUCGGCCACACUGGGACUGAGACACGGCCCAGACUCCUACGGGAGGCAGCAGUAGGGAAUCUUCGGCAAUGGGGGGAAGUCUGACCAAGCAACGCCGCGUGAGUGAUGAAGGUUUUCGGGUCGUAAAGCUCUUUUGUUAAGGACGCGGUACCUGACCAGAAAGCCACGGCUAACUACGUGCCAGCAGCCGCGGUAAUUC
rnacentral:rRNA from 1 species